CUAAUAUCACAGUUAAUUUGGUUAAAAGGUCAAGAAACACUUACUAGUUCUCAACUUUUUUCUAUGUAAACCAAUCUCAUGAAUGUGAGACACCCAUAGGUACACCUAUGAAUUUUAAUAGCUAGAGAAUAUUAUAAACAGGAUUUGGUAUGGAUGUUUAGUGUCAAUUUCCCUUUCUAGCUGUUUCCAACUGAUAUCCCAGGUCAUAACCAAUGCAUUGUAGAACUUUCAUGAACAUUUCCUGAUACAACUUUUUUAAAAAAGCAAUUCAGUCAUCUAAAAUUUCUUAACAGCUUAUUUUUUACAAUGCCUAUGUGGGUCUUAUUGGAAACAUGAUUAUUACCCACAAUUUGUUGGAGCUUGAUUUUCUAAUUUGCUUUAACUCAGUGCAUCUAAAACUUUAGUGUUCCUACAAAUUACCUAGGGACCUUAUUAAAAUGUACAUUUUGAUUCAGCAGGUCUUGCACAGGGUUUGUAAUUCUGGAUUUUGCAUUAGCUACUUGGUGAUCAGAUGUUGCUGCUUCAAGAUUCUUAGCGAAGCUUUGAAUGGCUAUUCACUAGCAGUACUUAAACACUGAAGUUUACUGCUUCUAAAUCUGCUGCAGACUAUAAAAAAAAAUCAUAAACUAAGCUAGCGAACUUCAUUUUAAAUAGGAAGCCAAUAAACCACCGAAUGAAAAACUCAGCCUAAUAUGGGUUUGGAAUUGCUAUUUGGGGUUUCCUUACACCUUUCCUCAUAGGUGAUUGAGCUGGAUGCAGUGGCACAUGUCUGUAAUCCCAGCAGUUUGAGAAGCUGGGGGAAGAGAAUUUCAAGUUCAAAGCCAGCCUCAACAAAUUAAUGAGGCCCUAAGCAACCUAGCAAGACCCUGUCUCAAAAUAAAAAAUAAAUAAAUAAAAAGGGAUGGGGAUGUGGCUCAGUGGUAAAGCUCCUCUGGGUUCAAUCCCCAGUUCCAAAAUAAAUAAAAGACGGAAUCAACUGAAAGACUGACCUCUGGAUAAAUGAGGUGUUAUUCAUCUCCACAUGGGCACUGGGCCCAUAAACAUUUGGCUUAGAUAAAUCAAAAAACAAGAAUGGAAGCAGAUGGACAAGUUGGGAAGCCAUUAUAAUAAUAUAGCAAGGAAGUGCUGUCAGGCUAACCUAAAGCCAUAGUAGGAAGAUGGGAUGGAUUUUUUAAAAGAAAGUGGGGAUUGGAAGAGAGAGGUUGGUGGAGGUAGGGGAAAAGGAGGUGAUGAGAGAAAGUCUAAGAUUAUUCCAAGAUACUUGGCUUCAGCAAUUUGGUACACAGUAGUGCCCUUAAAUAAGAGAACCUAGUAGGGAAAACAUCAGUCAGGUGGGAUUUCGGAGAAAUGAGUUUGGCUUUGGACAUGUUAUGUUUGGGGUUUCUGUGGACCAUAUACAGGGACAGGAUAGUGUUUUGGUUUGUAGUCAAAUAUAUCUAGGUUCAGAUUCCAGCUCUGCCAUGUGUUUAACUGUAUGCUGUUAAUCCAGUAAAUUCCAAGGUUUUUUGUUUUGUUUUGUUUGUACCAGGAAUUGAACUCAGGGGCACUCAACCACUGAGCCUUGUCCCAGCCCUACUUUGUAUUUUAUUUAGAGACAAGUUCUCACUGAGUUGCUUAGCGCCUCACCCUUGCUGAAGCUGGCUUUGAACUCAUGAUCCUCCUGUCUCAGCCUCCUGAGUCUCUGGAACUACAGGCAUGCACCACUGAGCCUGACUAAAUUUGAAGUUUUCAAGUCUGUGACUAUUUCAAUGAAAUUGACAUGGGUGCAUUAAAAUAGGUGAACACCAGUAAUCCCAGCGGCUCAACUUCAAAGCCAGCCUCAAAAAUUUAGGUAGGCCCUAAGCAAUUUAGCAAGACCAUGUCUCAAAAUCAAAAAUAAAAAAGGCUGGGGAUAUGGCUCAGUGGUUAACUGCCCCUGAGUUCAAUCCCCAGUACCAAAAAAAAGGUUGGAAAUCAUAACCUAGAGCUUAUAUUAUUA
rnacentral:lncRNA from 1 species